rnacentral:rRNA from 1 species
CGAGAGUUUGAUCCUGGCUCAGGAUGAACGCUGGCGGCGUGCCUAAUACAUGCAAGUCGAGCGGGUUUAGACCCGCGGCGAACGGGUGAGUAACGCGUAGGAACGUGCUCCGAAGUCGGGGAUAACCUGUCGAAAGACUGGCUAACACCCGAUAGUACCAAUGUGUCUCAUUGCACUCGAUAAGGACAAUGGACAAUAAAGAAUUUUGAAUUUAGAGUUUCGAAUUUCGAAUAAAUUUCGAAUGACUGAAUAUUCGAGUUUGGAAAAUUCAGAUAUUAACUCAAAAUUCAAAACUCGAUAUUCGAAAUUAAUAUUUCUCAUCGAGCGUAGCGAGAUGCAUUGGUUAAAGUUUACGCUUCGGAAGCGGCCUGCGUCCUAUCAGCUUGUUGGUGAGGUAACGGCUCACCAAGGCGAUGACGGGUAGCUGGUCUGAGAGGAUGAUCAGCCACAAUGGGACUGAGACACGGCCCAUACUUCUACGGAAGGCAGCAGUAGGGAAUUGUGCACAAUGGGCGAAAGCCUGAUGCCGCGACGCCGCGUGAAGGAAGACGGCCUUCGGGUUGUAAACUUCUUUUAUGAGGGAAGAUUAUGACGGUACCUCAUGAAUAAGGGGCUGCUAACUACGUGCCAGCAGCAGCGGUAAUACGUAGGCCCCAAGCGUUAUCCGGAAUUACUGGGCGUAAAGUGCGCGUAGGCGUUUUGGUAAGUUGGUCGUUAAAUCUCACCGCUCAACGGUGAGGCCGCGAGCAAUACUGCCAGAAUAGAGUCCUGCAGGGGCGAGUGGAAUUCCCGGAGUAGGGGUGAAAUCCGUUGAUACCGGGAGGAACACCAAUGGCGAAGGCAGCUCGCUGGGCAGUGACUGACGCUGAGGGCGCGAAAGCGUGGGGAGCAAACGGGAUUAGAUACCCCGGUAGUCCACGCCGUAAACGAUGCCAACUAGCAGUCGGGAGAGUCGACCCUCUCUGCUGCGAAGCUAACGCGUCAAGUUGGCCGCCUGGGAAGUACGAUCGCAAGAUUAAAACUCAAAGGAAUUGGCGGGGGAUCGCACAAGUGGUGGAGCAUGUGGUUUAAUUCGACAAUAACCGCGAAACCUUAUCCAGGGUUUGACAUCCCGGGAAGUCCGCUGAAAGGCGGAUGUGCCUUCGGGAACCCGGUGACAGGUACUGCACGGUCGUCGUCAGUUCGUGGCGUGAGCUGUGAGGUUAAGUCCUUGAACGAACGAAACCCUCGUCCUAUGUUGGAUUUUUCAUAGGAGACUGCCCGAGCAAUCGGGAGGAAGGUGGGGAUGACGUCAGAUCCGCGUGGUCUUUAUGCCCUGGGCUACACACGUGCUACAAUCCGGCGGACAAAGGGUUGCCAAGCCGCGAGGCGGAGCUAAUCCCAUCAAAACGCCGGUCAGUUCGGAUUGGAGUCUGCAACUCGACUCCAUGAAGCCGGAAUCACUAGUAAUCGUGAAUCAUCAUGUCACGGUGAAUACGUUCUCGAUCCUUGCACACACCGCCCGUCAAGUGAGCCGAGUCGGUAACGCCAGAAGC